rnacentral:rRNA from 1 species
UUCGGUUGAUCCUGCCGAAGGCUACUGCUAUUGGUGUUCGAUUAAGCCAUGCGAGUCUAAGGGGUACUUGUACCCCUGGCAUAAUGCUCAGUAACACGUGGAUAAUCUACCCUUAGGUGGGGCAUAAACCCGGGAAACUGGGGCUAAUUCCCCAUAGAUACAGAAGGCUGGAAUGCCUCUGUAUUCAAAGCUCCGGCGCCUAAGGAUGAGUCUGCGACCUAUCAGGUAGUAGUCAGGGUCACGACCUGACUAGCCAACGACGGGUACGGGGUGUGAGAGCACUUGCCCGGAGAUGGUUUCUGAGACAAGAAACCAGGCCCUACGGGGCGCAGCAGGCGCGAAAACUUCGCAAUGCGGGAAACCGUGACGAGGGAACACCAAGUGUCUAUGCAUUGCAUAGACUGUUUUUCAGCUUAAAUUGCUGUUAGAGUAAGGGGUGGGUAAGACCGGUGCCAGCCGCCGCGGUAACACCGGCACCCCGAGUGGUAGCCACUAUUAUUGGGCCUAAAGCGUUCGUAGCCGGUUUAGUAAAUUCUUGGGUAAAUCGUACAGCUUAACUGUGCGGAUUCCGGGGACACUACUAGACUUGAGACCGGGAGAGAUUAGAGGUACUUGCAGGGGAGCGGUGAAAUGUUGUAAUCCUGCAGGGACCACCAGUGGCGAAGGCGUCUAAUCAUAACGGCUCUGACGGUGAGGAACGAAACCCUGGGGCGCAAACGGGAUUAGAUACCCCGGUAGUCCAGGGCGUAAACGCUGCUGAUUUGGUGUUGGAGAUCCUACGAGGGUGUCCAGUGCUGGCGCGAAGGUAUUAAAUCAGCCGCCUGGGGAGUACGGUCGCAAGACUGAAACUUAAAGGAAUUGGCGGGGGAGCACUGCAACGUGUGGAGCGUGCGGUUUAAUUGGAUUCAACGCCGGAAAACUCACCGGGGGCGACGGUUACAUGAAGGCCAAGCUGAUGACUUUGCCUGAUUUUCCGAGAGGUGGUGCAUGGCCGCCGUCAGUUCGUACCGUAAGGCGUUCUGUUAAGUCAGAUAACGAACGAGACCUCCGUCACCAUUUGCUAUCCUCUUCUCCGGAAGGGGAGCACUAUGGUGGUACCGCCACUGUUAAAGUGGAGGAAGGAGGGGGCAACGGUAGGUCAGUAUGCCCCGAAUCUCCCGGGCUACACGCGCGCUACAAAGGGCAGGACAAUGGGCUUCGACACCGAAAGGUGAAGGCAAUCCUGAAACCUGCUCGUAAUUCGGAUUGAGGGCUGCAAUUCGCCCUCAUGAAGCUGGAAUACGUAGUAAUCGCGGGUCAACAUCCCGCGGUGAAUAUGCCCCUGCUCCUUGCACACACCGCCCGUCAAACCACCUUAGUUGGGUCUGGACGAGGGUUUGUCUUAUGACACGCUCGAAUCUGGGUUCAGCGAGGAGGGUUAAGUCGUAACAAGGUAUCCGUAGGGGAACCUGCGGAUGGAUCAC